rnacentral:rRNA from 1 species
UAUCUCUGUAGAGUCUGCAUAUCAAUAAGCGGAGGAAAAGAAACUAACUAGGAUUCCCUCAGUAACGGCGAGUGAAGCGGGAAGAGCUCAAAUUUGAAAUCUUCAAGGUUCUACCUUGACGAAUUGUAGUUUAAAGAAGUGUUUUCUGUUGGAGUUUUGGUAAAAGUUCUUUGGAAUAGGACAUCAUAGAGGGUGAGAAUCCCGUAUUUGACCAUUAUUUCCAACUUUGUGAUACACUUUCAAAGAGUCGGAUUGUUUGGGAAUGCAGUCCAAAAUGGGUGGUAAAUUUCAUCUAAAGCUAAAUACUGGCGAGAGACCGAUAGCGAACAAGUACCGUGAGGGAAAGAUGAAAAGAACUUUGAAAAGAGAGUUAAACAGUACGUGAAAUUGUCAAAAGGGAAGCGUUUGACACCAGUGUUGUUUUCUCGAAAAUCAAUUAAAAAUGGUGGGAUUUUGUGUUGUAUUGACUUUAUCAGCUUUCUGCACUUUUUUCCUAUCUUUUUUAAUGCACUUUUCGUUUAACAAGUCAACAUCAAUUUCUUUUGCUGUAAAAGAGUCAUUGGAAGGUGGCUUUCUUUUCGGAGAAAGUGUUUAUAGCCUUUGACUUCUGCAGUCGGAGAGAUUGAGGUCUGCAGCGUAGAUCCUUCGGGGUUAGAUACAUUUGUGCUAAGCUAUAGCCUUUCAUAGACAACUUGUUGACUAUGAUCAGUCAUGUAGCUUACUCGCUUAUGCUAUUUUACCUACGCUUAGGAUGUUGAACGCGCACAGAGUCUC